GACAGCAGCUCACACUUUUAAUGAAGGACCCAAGCCAGCACAGUGCUCUCAUAGCCACAGCAGGUGCAAAAGAGAAAUUGGCUGUUUCAAAGAUAAAAACAAUGAGCCGUUCCCAAAAUAAACAUUAAUCUUUUGAAACCAUCAACCAUGCAGAGUAAAGUAAAUACUAAAUUGGGUUGUUUUCCAGGAUGACUUUUCUUUAAGAAUGUAAAAUGGCAAAAAAUGCACCUGCUUUUACAGCUGUGACUCUGAACAGAAUCAAGCAAAGUCCCCCAGUGGCGCAUCUAAUAGGUACAGAAAGUAGGCAUUCUUAGCUGAGAAGAAGAACUGGGCUAUUUUCACUUUGACUUGCCCUUCUUUGUGUGUGUUCAAAGGAGUGCUAUUUAUAAAAGUUCUGAAAUCAAAAGAUUAGUACAAUCGAGUAACUUUCGAGGCACCCUCUUAGACACUGGCUCAGUUUCUUCUCUUUCAGCAACCUGAGCUGCAGUGACUGCCGACAGGGAGAGAAAAAAGGAGAUGCCAAUAAAAUCAAUAAAUACAGAGUGAAUUUGAAGAGCAAGGUACUGUGCCAGCCAUUUUGAAACAAAAGGGAUGAUUCAUUCGAAAGAUCCAACAGAAGAGCCCGCAUUAGAGCUUAAGGAGGAUUGGAGGUGGACUUCGACUUCCCGACACGUUUGGAAGCAGGAGGUGUAUGGGAAACCUCUGUAUCGUCCUCCCAAUUUUGCUAUGAAUCUAAAACUGCUCUAAAAAAUAAAAUAACGUGGUUUGUUUUGUUUUGUUUUGUUUUUUUUCUGGAAGCUGGCAGCUCCAGGACCAAAUCAGGGGCUCAGUGAAAUCAUCAAGGACACAGACCCUCUCUGACAGCCUCUCUGCAGCAAGUCCUUAGGCCUACACAUCAUGGCUGCUACCAUGCCAAGCUCUCUGUCUUCACACUAAUGCCUAAAAGGAAGGUAGAGGCAUAAGGAAAAAAGCUUUUGCCUGAUAGGCUCUACUUUUUUUCUUCAGGAAAAAAAAAAAUAUUUUCCAGGUGCACAACAGACUUCCCUUUUUAUCUUAUCAUCUGGAGUUGGGUCACACUACCUACCCUAGGCUAAUCUUGAUGAAGGGAAAUGGGAUUCCCAGCAUGAUUUAUCUCUGGGUGCCUCUGUGGUUGCUGACCAAACAAGGAAGAA